rnacentral:rRNA from 1 species
AGGGUGCCCGUUAACCGUGACGAGUCGAGCGGGGAUAGGGUGCUUGCACCUGAUUCCUAGCGGCGGACGGGUGAGUAAUGCUUAGGAAUCUGCCUAUUAGUGGGGGACAACGUUCCGAAAGGGACGCUAAUACCGCAUACGUCCUACGGGAGAAAGCAGGGGAUCUUCGGACCUUGCGCUAAUAGAUGAGCCUAAGUCGGAUUAGCUAGUUGGUGGGGUAAAGGCCUACCAAGGCGACGAUCUGUAGCGGGUCUGAGAGGAUGAUCCGCCACACUGGGACUGAGACACGGCCCAGACUCCUACGGGAGGCAGCAGUGGGGAAUAUUGGACAAUGGGGGGAACCCUGAUCCAGCCAUGCCGCGUGUGUGAAGAAGGCCUUUUGGUUGUAAAGCACUUUAAGCGAGGAGGAGGCUUACCUGGUUAAUACCUGGGAUAAGUGGACGUUACUCGCAGAAUAAGCACCGGCUAACUCUGUGCCAGCAGCCGCGGUAAUACAGAGGGUGCAAGCGUUAAUCGGAUUUACUGGGCGUAAAGCGCGCGUAGGUGGCUAAUUAAGUCAAAUGUGAAAUCCCCGAGCUUAACUUGGGAAUUGCAUUCGAUACUGGUUAGCUAGAGUAUGGGAGAGGAUGGUAGAAUUCCAGGUGUAGCGGUGAAAUGCGUAGAGAUCUGGAGGAAUACCGAUGGCGAAGGUAGCCCUUCUGGGCCUAAUACUUGAAC